rnacentral:rRNA from 1 species
AAGGGAGAGUACAAAACAGGUAACGUACCUCGGACACCGGGAUAGCCCACCGAAAGGUGGAUUAAUACCGGGCGAUGUCGUGAGUCGCAUGGCUCACGAUCAGAGGAUGGGGCCCUUCGGGGCCUGUCGGUCUGGGAGCGGCCUGUUUCCCAUCAGCUGGUUGGUGAGGUAAUGGCUCACCAAGGCGAUGACGGGUAGCCGACCUUAGCGGGUAAUCGGCCUCACUGGGACUGAGACACUGCCCAGAGCCCUACGGGGUGCAGCAGUCUCGAAUCAUCCGCAAUGCGCGCAAGCGUGACGGUGCGACGCCGCGUGCGGGAGGAAGCCCCUCGGGGUGUAAACCGCUUUUCAGGGGUAUGAAGCGUCCGCGGUCAAUAGCCGCGGUGCGUUGACGUCAACCCUGGAAUAAGCCCCUGCUAACUUCGUGCCAGCAGCCGCGGUAAUACGGAGGGGGCAAGCGUUGCUCGGAAUCACUGGGCUUAGAGCGGGCGUAGGCGGUCCGGUCAGUCGGAUGUGAAAUCCCUCGGCUUAACCGAGGAAGGGCAUCCGAUACUGCCGGGCUUGAGGCAUUCAGGGGCGACUGGAACUCUCGGUGGAGCGGUGAAAUGCGUAGAUAUCGAGAGGAACGCCAAUGGCGAAGGCAGGUCGCUAGGGAUGUCCUGACGCUGAGGCCCGAAAGCCAGGGGAGCGAACGGGAUUAGAUACCCCGGUAGUCCUGGCCCUAAACGAUGCACACUAGGUGGGGGAGGGUCUGACGCCCAUCCCUGCCGCAGGGAAACCGUUAAGUGUGCCGCCUGGGGAGUACGGUCGCUAGGCUGAAACUCAUAGGAAUUGAGGGGGGCUCACUCAAGCGGUGGAGCAUGUGGCUCAAUUCGAGGCAACGCGAAGAGCCUUAUCAUGGGCUUGUCAUGCAGGCAGUAGGCCCCCGAAAGGGGAACUACCGGUUCAGCCCGGAACCUGCACGGGUGCUGCAUGGCUGUCGUCAGCUCGUGCUGUGAAGUGUCGGGUUAAGUCCCUUAACGAGAGAAACCCUUUCCUUUAGUUACCAGCGGGUCAUGCCGGGGACUUUUAGGGGACUGCCGCGGUGAACUCGGAUGAAGGUGGGGAUGACGUCAAGUCCUCAUGGCCUUUAUGCCCAGGGCUGCUCACGUGCUACAAUGGCAGGUACAGCGGGACGCGAAUCCUGCGAGGUCGGAGCCAAUCCCUAAAAGCCUGCCCCAGUUCGGAU